rnacentral:rRNA from 1 species
GAGUUUGAUCUUGGCUCAGAACGAACGCUGGCGGCAUGCCUAACACAUGCAAGUCGAACGGGAUCCGGACUUCGGUUCGGUGAGAGUGGCGGACGGGUGAGUAACGCGUGGGAACCUGCCCAGUGGUGGGGGAUAACUGCGGGAAACUGCAGCUAAUACCGCAUGAGCCCGAGAGGGGAAAGAUUUAUCGCCAUUGGAGGGGCCCGCGUUCGAUUAGGUAGUUGGUGAGGUAAUGGCUCACCAAGCCGACGAUCGAUAGCUGGUCUGAGAGGAUGAUCGGCCACACUGGGACUGAGAUACGGCCCAGACUCCUACGGGAGGCAGCAGUGGGGAAUAUUGGACAAUGGGGGCAACCCUGAUCCAGCAAUGCCGCGUGAGUGAUGAAGGCC